rnacentral:rRNA from 1 species
AUUGAACGCUGGCGGCAUGCCUUACACAUGCAAGUCGAACGGCAGCACGGGUGCUUGCACCUGGUGGCGAUUGGCGAACGGGUGAGUAAUACAUCGGAACAUGUCCUGUAGUGGGGGAUAGCCCGGCGAAAGCCGGAUUAAUACCGCAUACGAUCUACGGAUGAAAGCGGGGGACCUUCGGGCCUCGCGCUACAGGGUUGGCCGAUAGCUGAUUAGCUAGUUGGUGGGGUAAAGGCCUACCAAGGCGACGAUCAGUAGCUGGUCUGAGAGGACGACCAGCCACACUGGGACUGAGACACGGCCCAGACUCCUACGGGAGGCAGCAGUGGGGAAUUUUGGACAAUGGGCGAAAGCCUGAUCCAGCAAUGCCGCGUGUGUGAAGAAGGCCUUCGGGUUGUAAAGCACUUUUGUCCGGAAAGAAAUCCUUGGCUCUAAUACAGUCGGGGGAUGACGGUACCGGAAGAAUAAGCACCGGCUAACUACGUG